CUCACAUGUGUGGUUCUGUCUCCUUGCUGCCCCUCCCUUGAUCUGAGUUCUACAGUAACCCACGUCAAAUACUCAACACCAGCCCUCAUGGAACUGCUCCGAGCCAUUUCAGCUGUCUGAAGCUUGCCCUCUGGAACGUUCUUCGGCUGCGUGAAGUGACAGGUGGAAACACAGACGGAUUUUCAGCUUGAUGAAGGAAGACCCGUUUUCUUUGAUGAUGGAGAACUGGAGCAGAGCCGGAAAGCACGGCAAAAUAUGUAACAUUUCCAAGGCACCCGUGAGGUGCUAUUCGACCAGUGUGAACCAAGAGUUUGUUUGAGGGAAACAAGUUGGCGAGAGUCACUCUCCUGGGAUCAGAUCCUUGCGAGGGAGAAAGAGUGAGUUUCUGGAUCUUCAAAGAAGAGGGUCCGUUUCUUCUGGCCAGUCUUUUCCUUUAGACGGUGCCUCUGAAGCUUUUCUGCGCAGACCGGCCGGACAACACGGGAACACGUUAUCAUUCCUAGUAUACAAGG